AUUUGUAUCAGAUGCUUUGUUUGUAGAUUCUAUCAAAAGAGCAUCUUAUACAAAUGA
ensembl:miRNA mdo-mir-7371b-2 mdo-mir-7371b-2